AUUGAACGCUGGCGGCAUGCUUUACACAUGCCAGUCGAACGGUAACAGGCCGCAAGGUGCUGACGAGUGGCGAACGGGUGAGUAAUGCAUCAGAACGUGCCCAGUCGUUGGGGAUAACUACUCGAAAGAGUAGCUAAUACCGCAUACGAUCUAUGGAUGAAAGCGGGGGACCGUAAGGCCUCGCGCGAUUGGAGCGGCCGAUGUCAGAUUAGGUAGUUGGUGGGGUAAAGGCUCACCAAGCCAACGAUCUGUAGCUGGUCUGAGAGGACGACCAGCCACACUGGGACUGAGACACGGCCCAGACUCCUACGGGAGGCAGCAGUGGGGAAUUUUGGACAAUGGGCGCAAGCCUGAUCCAGCAAUGCCGCGUGCAGGAAGAAGGCCUUCGGGUUGUAAACUGCUUUUGUACGGAACGAAACGGCUCUGGUUAAUACCCGGGGCUAAUGACGGUACCGUAAGAAUAAGCACCGGCUAACUACGUG
rnacentral:rRNA from 1 species